GACGAACGCUGGCGGCGUGCCUAAUACAUGCAAGUAGAACGCUGAAGGAGGAGCUUGCUCUUCUGGAUGAGUUGCGAACGGGUGAGUAACGCGUAGGUAACCUGCCUGGUAGCGGGGGAUAACUCUUGGAAACGCUAGCUAAUACCGCAUAAGAGUAGAUGUUGCAUGACAUUUGCUUAAAAGGUGCAAUUGCAUCACUACCAGAUGGACCUGCGUUGUAUUAGCUAGUUGGUGGGGUAACGGCUCACCAAGGCGACGAUACAUAGCCGACCUGAGAGGGUGAUCGGCCACACUGGGACUGAGACACGGCCCAGACUCCUACGGGAGGCAGCAGUAGGGAAUCUUCGGCAAUGGACGGAAGUCUGACCGAGCAACGCCGCGUGAGUGAAGAAGGUUUUCGGAUCGUAAAGCUCGGUUGUAAGAGAAGAACGAGUGUGAGAGUGGAAAGUUCACACUGUGACGGUAUCUUACCAGAAAGGGACGGCUAACUACGUG
rnacentral:rRNA from 1 species